GCGCUUCCUCAGGCGCAGGGUACUUUUUUUUAUUUUUUAAUCUUUUAUGUUUGCAUUUUUGUUCCUUGCCUCUAAUCUAAUUUAAUUUACGGUUGAGGUUGCAAUUACACCACGUUAAUUGCUGUUAUUGUUGAUGGAGUCUUAGUUUCAGUCUGUUGCUUUAUUCAUGUCAUGGUUGCUUUCUGAUGCUGCCAGAUUCUCUGUUGAAUCUCGAAAUUGGACUAAGAAAAUCUUUUACUCACUUGAACCUGAAAGUUAAAGUAUAUUCACUUGUUGCCUUUGAUUUCUUUUACAUACUUGCAUUCUUUUACAAGUAUAUUCACUCUGUUGGAUUGAUCUGGCUAUUGUUCCAUACUGGACUUUAGCUACCUAUAAUUCAAACACUUGGAGCUUGCGAGGGUUAGUGUGAGAUAGAUUUGGGUGUAAGAGCAAUUGGGACAAGAGCAAUUGUCUUUGUGAAUCUCCUAUUUUCUUGGGUAAAAUUUUUUGGUUUUUUUUGCCCAUGUAUGAUGUAUGUAGGCUUUCACAUUAAAUUUAUGUUUGAUCUUGUGCUAUUUAUUUUUGUUAUUUUAUUUUCAUUUAAACAAUUAUUAAAAUUUUGGGGGAAUCAUCUCCGCAACAAUUCAUAUGCCUAUUUAUUUGAUUAUUGGUUCAGAUGCCUAUUACAUUCUUAUUUAAUGAUAAGGUGUAGUUUGUUUUCUUUUCAUUUUUUAGCUGGAUCUUAGAUUAUUAUCAGGGCAUGAUCAUUUGAUUAUACCUGGUUUAGGCUAAGCGGUUCCUUUCCUUGGUUUGUAGCUUCUUGAAAUAUAUUAUUGAGUAUGUGAAGAUAGUUUUUCUCGGUCUUUGUUGAAUUGUGUAUAAUGUCCUUGUUCUGCAUGGGUUUGUGUUAUGACUAUUCUCAUGAUGAUUUUAAAAUUUUGUUCCUUGCUUUUGUGGUUGUCUUGUCUCAGGAUGAUUUGCCUAAGCCUGGACA
rnacentral:misc_RNA from 1 species